rnacentral:rRNA from 1 species
GACAGAGGUGGCGAGCGUUGUUCGGAAUUAUUGGGCGUAAAGCGCUUGUAGGCGGCGUGUUAAGUCCCGUGUGAAAUCCCUCGGCUCAACUGAGGGAGUGCGCGGGAAACUGGCAUGCUUGAGUCCUGGAGAGGGUCGCGGAAUUCCCGGUGUAGAGGUGAAAUUCGUAGAUAUCGGGAGGAACACCAGUGGCGAAGGCGGCGACCUGGACAGAGACUGACGCUGAGACGCGAAAGCGUGGGGAGCAAACAGG